GUUUAACGGCCCACUCUCUACACCUGUUCGUUUACUGCCGCUUCUUCCUUGUGUCGACAGUUUAUCUCAAAGUCUGCACUUUCAUAAAGUUCUCCAUCCCAUCUAUUGGUGACCAAGAAACCUGGUGGAGACCGCAUUAUCAAGGAAUACAAGCGGACCAAAGGCCAGACCUCAUAGUGACAGAUGGUUAACAUCCUUGCUCCACACAUCACUAAAAUACAUCUACUGCAGAUUGAGCAGACUUCAUCCUGCAGUUUGAAGAUGUAGCUGCCAAGUUUUUGGAGUGGUGGCCCACUACUUUGAAGCAAAAUGUCAUCCAGCAAAGCAAGGCGUCAAAUAAAGAGGAAGUGGAUGAUGCUCUUUUCUCUGGCGAGGUGUCUGCAUCCCAAGCUGAGAAGCAUCUUGUCAUGGAGUCAUGAGUGAAACCAGCAUCUAAGAACAUAUUGAUGUCCUCAACGGCAUAACUCAACCUUAUCUACUUGCCGUUGGAAUGAAGAGGAGCAGGAUCCACAAGUUCAUCGUUCUGGACGGGCAGGUCAUAACAUGCAAGUCAACCACUUCUCUCGGAGCUUAUGAUUAACCUCUUUUAGGCACACUUGGUAUUUUACUAUGAGGUGCCCCACAACAUGUACACCUUCAUACAGACAACGGUGUACAACAUGGAUAUCUGCAAAAUGCAUGAGAGCCAACAGGUUGCCGAGGUUAGGGCUGGACUGCUACACUAAUUGAUUUAUCAGUUGAUCCUUUAUCAAUACUAUUGCACUGUUUUUUUGGAUAUCGUGAGCAAUUUAUUUUUUAUUUCAUUUUACCCAUUGAUUCAUGGUUUCUGUCCUGGUCAAUCACUUAUCCUGAAAUGUGCUCCGGCAGGAUGUUACGUUUCUGGUACCUACCUCGGACUUCAGGAAACAUGACUCGGUAAUACUAGCACCAUGUAGUAUCAAACUUACCAUGUGUCAAGGUUGAAACAUCCGCUGCUUUACGGCAGCUCAACACAAUGGUUGACCUCAUGCAUCACAACAACAGACACAUUGUACAACAGGUACCUUGGUCAGUUAAAUAAGAUUAUUCCCUGGAUCCUUCACACUUACACUGAGAGAUUAUUCAUUUGAACUGUGUUUAACCUUAACACGCCAAUAUGAACUCAUUUUAAUCUUUGUAGCAUUUUGUGAACGGGCAGCCUACCUUGCGGAGUUAUUACUCCAAAAACACUUGUUAAAACAUUGCCUGACUGCUCCAUGGCUGCUGACAGUCAUGGGAGCUUGACGUACAUAGCAACAGUAAAUAAGGGGGCGAAGCUUAUGCGAAUGAUCAAUUGAGGACGUCCACUAGCUCCUUCAGGGCUUUGAAUGCAGCCACCUCUCCUUGGAGAUGGCCGUCCUUUUGAGUCAUUGACCUGUACACUCCUGAUCUAAUUUUUUCUUAGUAUCAAAAAUAAAUAAAAAUACAGAUUCUUAAACACUGCCUUAAAAUUGUGCAAUCUCACAUUCAGAAUCAGAACCAAAAUGUUUCAACAGAAGUGCUUGGCUUUGGACCGGGACUUGGAACAAGAGUCUUACACCCUCUUUACAGUCUCAAGUCUCUUGUGUGUGCAAGCCUUUAGAAGCACUUGGUUGCAGUGAAGGAAAGUGACCAUAUUUACAUGCUAGGGGCGGGUAAUAUGGCCCUAAAAGAUUAUAUAUAUUUCAGGGUAUUUUUGCGAUUACAAAAUACUGAAAUGUAUAGAAAAUAUAUAUUUUUUUUGUCUGUAUAGUUAAACAUACAACUAAAUAAAAAUCAAUCAAUCAUAAAUCUAAAAUGUGUUAAUUGCAAAUCAACAGUUGACAAAUACAAAAUAAUUACUCUCAACUCUUGAGUAUAAGCAAAUAAUAAAAAAUAACCAUCUAGGGGGCAUGCCCCCCUUGUGAUAAAAUUUUGUACAUUUUAAGUAAAAUGCAUCAAUCUUGUCGACUUGGAGAGCUAAAUGUCUUUUUUAGUAAACCUUUUCUUUAUACAGGUAAUCUCAUUGAGACACAGGGUCUCAUUCUCAAGAGAGACCUGAUAAAUGUGAGCCAUUACCUCAUGAUAUUUUUCGCAGUCAAUGCCCCUGUGGAGAAAUGUUUUUCAUAAAAGCCCAAAUUUGGUGGCCUAACAUUCUAAUGGCACUAUUCCAUCAUAUACACUGAUCUUAAUCAUUGCCUGUUUCAAUUAACUAUUAUAAAGGAGAAUAAGGGUUCUUGUAUGUUUUAUUUAAGGCAUCUUAUUUUGACAGUCUUGUAAAUUCUGUGGUUUCUGUUAACACACUGCUCUUAUUUUGAAAGAUGCAUUGUUUAGUAACUGGAAGUAAUACGUUUUUGUGACUAAAACUUUAUUUGUUAGCUAACGUUAGCUCGCGACUAACGACCAGCCUAAUGCAACAAUGUGUUUGGAUCUGACUGGCUGGACAGGUUGAUUUUGGCCUGUAAAUUACUGCCAUCACUAUACUGGAAGAUGCACAGUUGUAAAUCAAUCAUUCCAAAUUGACAUCUGGCACAUGCAUUAUGUCCCCCACUACACUAUCUAAGCUAGGGCUGAUAUGGACCAAAAGUCAUAUCCCGAUAUAUUUAGGCUGAAUAGCGAUAUACGAUUUAUAUCCUGAUAUUUUUAUCGCAAAGUGAAAGCAAAUGUUCAGUCAAAGCCAAAUAUGACAUGUCAAACAUAAAUGACAUGUGAACAUAAAUACUGUAUAACAGGAGUGCUUAAAAAAAUAGCCUAUGAAAUAAAAUAGGUCAAACUUUUUCUGAAAUAAAUAUAUUUAUAUGACAAAAGAAUAAAAUACAUUACAAAGGAACUAAAUCCUGUCAGAAUAAUAUAAAUCCAUUAAUCAAAUGGGCUUAUGCUUAAACACACUCAUACAACAACGUGCUUUCCAUAAUCAGGCUGAAGAAAUAUUCUACAUUAUUUUCUCAUUUCAUAGUUUAUUUUUUUAAUCAACAUCAGUCCUAAUCAUAAAUAUCAAAUAUUAUAUUAAUUUUCUGAAUUUUAAUCCUGCAAGUGAUUUAUGUAUUUUUGUAUAAUUUAUAAAUGUGACUAUACUGUAUGUACAUUUACUCAU